GACGAAGGGGGCUAGCGUUGUUCGGAAUUACUGGGCGUAAAGCGUGUGUAGGUGGUUGCCAUAGUCAGGUGUGAAAGCCUUGAGCUCAACUCAAGAAAUGCACUUGAUACUGGGCAGCUAGAGGACCGGAGAGGAUAGUGGAAUUCCCAGUGUAGUGGUGAAAUACGUAGAGAUUGGGAAGAACACCAGUGGUGAAGGCGGCUAUCUGGACGGUUUCUGACACUAAGACACGAAAGCGUGGGGAGCAAACAGG
rnacentral:rRNA from 1 species